rnacentral:lncRNA from 1 species
AGGAGUUGAUGGGGACAUCAGAGCCCUUCAUCCAGAUGAUCCUGAGCCCCCGGAUUGAGUCAGACCCGUUUAUUUGCAUAUUUAUUUUAUUAUUUUAUUUCUGGGCUUGUUUGCAUUCUAGAGUUUAUUUGUAGUUUAUGUUAUUUCUGGGCUUAUUUGCAUUUUAGGGCUUAUUUGUGUUAUUUGUGGGUUUAUUAGGAUUUAUUUCUGUGUAAGGGGGGUUUAUGCAAGUUGUGUAUUUGGGCCCUAUAUAUAGGAAACUAUUUUCAUGAUUAGGGUUUAAU